UAGGGAAUCUUCCACAAUGGGCGAAAGCCUGAUGGAGCAACGCCGCGUGUGUGAUGAAGGGUUUCGGCUCGUAAAACACUGUUGUAAGAGAAGAAUGGCAUUGAGAGUAACUGUUCAAUGUGUGACGGUAUCUUACCAGAAAGGAACGGCUAAAUACGUGCCAN
rnacentral:rRNA from 1 species